rnacentral:rRNA from 1 species
UACGAAGGGGGGCUAGCGUUGUUCGGAAUUACUGGGCGUAAAGCGUUUUGUAGGCGGUUUUUUAAGCCAGUGGUGAAAUCCUGAGGCUCAACCUCAGAAUUGCCAUAGGAACUGGAAGGCUAGAGAAUGUUAGAGGAAAGUGGAAUUCCUAGUGUAGGAGUGAAAUCCGUAGAGAUUAGGAGGAAUAUCGAUGGCGAAGGCAGCUUUCUGGGACAUUUCUGACGCUGAGAAACGAAAGCGUGGGUAGCAAACAGG